rnacentral:rRNA from 1 species
UUUAAAAUAAGUUACUUAAAAGCAUAAAGUGGAUGCCUCGACUCUAAAUUCCGAUGAAGGACGUGGUUAGCUGCGAUAAGCUUCGGUGAGCCGCUAGCAGGCUUUGACCCGGAGAUGUCCGAAUGGGGAAACCCUUCCAGAGUUAUGUCUGGAAAUGGUGCGCCCAAAAUAUUAAGCGCAUCAAGGUAACCUAGCGAACUGAAACAUCUUAGUAGCUAGGGAAAAGAAAUCAAAAGAGAUUCCCUCAGUAGUGGCGAGCGAACAGGGAAUAGCCCAAACCUAGAGCUACGGCUUUAGGGGUUGUAGGACUCCAAUAUGAAAUUUACUCCUAUUAGCUGAACACCCUGGAAAGGGUGACCAUAGAAGGUAAUAGUCCAGUAAGCGAAAAUAGGGUAAAAUUCUAGGAUGUUCCUGAGUAGGGUCAGACACGUGUAAUCUGGCUUGAAUCUGGGAGGACCACCUUCCAAGGCUAAAUAGAUUUAGAGAUCAAUAGUGUACAAGUACCGCGAGGGAAAGGUGAAAAGUACCCCGAAAGGGGAGUGAAAUAGUUCCUGAAACUUUAUGCUUAUAAAGAGUCGGAGUCCGUCUUGUACGGAUGACGGCGUACUUUUUGUAGAACGGGCCAACGAGUUAGCUGUACGGCGCUUGGUUAAGGGAGUAUUACCCGAAGCCGAAGUGAAAGCGAGGAUGAAUAAUCCGUUUGUGUCGUGCACUAGACCCGAAACUGAGUGAGCCACCCAUGGCCAGGUUGAAGCGUGAGUAAAAUCACGUGGAGGACCGAACCAACUUCUGCUGCAAAAGGAGUGGAUGAGCUGUGGGUAGCGGUGAAAAGCCUAACGAACUCAGAGAUAGCUGGUUCUCCUCGAAAUAGCUUUAGGGCUAGCCUCGUGUUAAUAGCGAUGGGGGUAGAGCGCUGUUUAGGCUAGGGGGCGAAAUAAGUCUACCAAACCUAGAUAAACUUCGAAUACCAUCGUGAAUUUCACGGGAGUCAGACUAUGACAGCUAAGUGCCAUAGUCAAAAGGGAAACAGCCCAGACCGUCAUCUAAGGUCCCAAAUAAAACUUAAGUGGUAAAGGAUGUAGGAUUGCUUAUACACCCAGGAGGUUGGCUUAGAAGCAGCCAUUCCUUUAAAGAGUGCGUAAUAGCUCACUGGUCUAUGUGAUCCUGCGCCGAAAAUAUAACGGGGCUCAAAGUUUUAACCGAAGAUACGGGUGGUGUUAAUUUUAUUAACAUCGCGGUAGAGGAGCGUUCCUGUCUGCGUUGAAGCUCAUUUGUAAAGAUGGGUGGAGCGUCAGGAAGUGAAAAUGUUGGCAUAAGUAACGUAAGUUCAAUGAGAAAUUGAACCGCCGAAUAUCCAAGGUUUCCCAAGCAAUGUUAAUCAGCUUGGGGUUAGUCGGGCCUAAGGCGAGGCUGAAAAGCGUAGUCGAUGGACAACAGGUUAAUAUUCCUGUACAACUUUGUGUUCGCCAAAACAAUAUCGGAGCGACAUUUCUUGUGAUCUGUUGGAGCUUUUGUUUCAAUAGUGAGUGAGAGAUCGAGUGAAGGUGGCGUUAGCUCAGGGGUAACGCGGUUGGAUAACUGGAGCGUGUUAAUGAAUUCACGUACAAAUUGUAAGUUUAUGCCCUUUGAGGUAAAUCCCUUAGGGUUCGCGAGCAAUGAUGUAAAAUGGACCGUCUUUGACGGUUGAUUCCAGCGAUUUCAGCUGACAAGAAAAACCUCGGUAGCGAGAACACUUUGUUUCCGUACCGCAAACCAACGCAGGUGGAUAGGUCGAGUAGACCAAGGCGAUCGAGAUAACUACUGUUAAGGAACUCGGCAAAACAGCAGGUGUAACUUCGGGAUAAACCUUGCCUGUCACUUUUUUGUUUUUUCAUUAAAGUGUUAGGCCACAGCAAAAGAUUCCACGCAACUGUUUAUCAAAAACACAGGUCUCUGCUAAGUCGUAAGACUAUGUAUAGGGGCUGACGCCUGCCCAGUGCCAGAAGGUUACGAGGAGGGGUUAACGCUCUGAAUCUAAGCCCUGGUGAACGGCGGCCGUAACUAUAACGGUCCUAAGGUAGCGAAAUUCCUUGUCGGGUAAGUUCCGACCCGCACGAAUGGCGUAAUGAUGUGGAAACUGUCUCAACAGUAGACUCGGUGAAAUUGCAAAACUGGUAAAAAUGCCAGUUAACCGUGGAAAGACGGAAAGACCCCAUGCAGCUUUACUAUAGCUUGGCAUUGGUUCUGGAUCUAAUAUGUGCAGGAUAGGUGGGAGACUUUGAAGCCUCGACGUCAGUCGGGGUGGAGUCGUCCUUGAGAUACCACCCUUAUUAUAUUUAGAAUCUAACUUGCACCAUUAAUCUGGUGACAAAGACAGUGCUUGGUGGGUAGUUUGACUGGGGCGGUCGCCUCCUAAAGAGUAACGGAGGCGCGCAAUGGUUCUCUAGGUCUGGAUGGAAAUCAGACUGAUAGUGUAAACGCAUAAGAGAGCUUAACUGCAAGACCUACAAGUCGAGCAGGUGCGAAAGCAGGUGUUAGUGAUCCGAUAGUGGCACGUGGGUGCGCUAUCGCUCAACGGAUAAAAGUUACGCUGGGGAUAACAGGCUUAUAGAUUCCAAGAGUUCAUAUCGACGAAUCUGUUUGGCACCUCGAUGUCGGCUCGUCCUAUCCUGGGGCUGGAGAAGGUCCCAAGGGUUUGGCUGUUCGCCAAUUAAAAGGGUACGCGAGCUGGGUUCAGAACGUCGUGAGACAGUUCGGUCCUUAUCUUCCAUGGUCGUAGGAUAUUUGCAGGAAUCUGUCCCUAGUACGAGAGGACCGGGAUGGACGAACCUCUGGUGUAUCUGUUGUCGUGUCAACGGCAUUGCAGAGUAGCUAUGUUCGGAAGGAUAACCGCUGAAAGCAUCUAAGUGGGAAACCUUUCCUAAGAUUAGAUAUCCCCAUUAGCCUCCCCGAAGACUACGGGGUCGAUAGGUCACAGAUGUAAGCACAGUGAUGUGUUCAGUCGAGUGAUACUAAUAGGCAAUAGACUUAUUUU